CUCUAUGGGCAUACCACCCUGAAUGUGCCCGAUCUUGUCUGAUCUCGGAAGCUAAGCAGGGUCGGGCCUGGUUAGUACUUGGAUGGGAGAUGGAAAUACCAGACCACCUGCCUCCUGAGAAAUCUGUAUGCAGGUC
ensembl:rRNA 5S_rRNA 5S ribosomal RNA